UCGGUAUUAGCUUCAUACCUGCAGAACAUAUUCCCGCUCUUUUCACAGUUCAGAGAGAGAGAAAUAUCUUCAAUGGAGGCGAGCGCGGCUGUCGAGGAGGCCAACAAGGCAACAGAGGAAGCCAGUAACAGCGAGAAGCGAGUCUUUGUAGUUGAUAUUUGUGCCGAGGGCAAGACUACUACAGUACUACUACUGCUGCUAGAAGAAUCACUUUCAGGUCUCCAGCACCAAGAAACCACCCCUCUUCUACGUCAAUCUCGCCGAGGUUGAAAAAGGGUUC